UUAGUACUCCCUCUGUUCAGAAAUACUUAUCAUCAAAAUGAAUAAAAGAGGAUGUAUCUAAACGUAUAUUAAUUCUAAAUACAUCCCUUUUUAUUUAUUUUGAUGAUAAGCAUUUUCAGACGGAGGGAGUACAUC
rfam:Triticum aestivum genome assembly, contig: Triticum_aestivum_CS42_TGACv1_scaffold_543261_6DS